GAGCCAUCAGGAUUGGCUCAUCUGCUCAGAUCCUUUGCCUCCUGACCACCUGCAGGUAGAUGCAUGCGAGGACUUUGAAGACAGCUAAUCUGAGCGACAUCAGCACAUACCAUUCUUAUAGCCCUGCUGUUUGUUCUUUCUGGCACCUCCACGCCCAGGCAUUCCCAUUCAUACCUACCCUAGCACUACAAUUCUCCAAAAUUUCAGUGACCACCAACCAUGGAAGAGAAGGGCAGAAAUGGUAAUCCUUUGUGGAAUGAAGCACAGAAACUGGCUUACUGCACAGCAGAACUACACAGUAUUUUAAGGCUUGUUCACAGAUACUGUACUUACCACACAGGAAACUUUUCGAAUGCCAUUUACAGCAACAUACUGAGCUUUCAUAUUCUCCAGCACUCUCCACUGGUUCUCCAAGAAGACGGUGCGUGUGGGUAUCUCACCACUCUGCUCCUCCAGUCUGCAAGAAGAGAAGCACAGAACUAGUACAAAGGAAAUUCCAGUAAAAAAAUAAUAAUAAUAAUAAAAAAAUUCUCUGUGAAUCCC